rnacentral:misc_RNA from 1 species
UUUCCGUAGGUGAACCUGCGGAAGGAUCAUUAUUGUAUAACCGAGGUGCGAGGGCUGUCGCUGACCCGAAAGGUCGUGCACGCCCGAGUGCCCUCACACACAUCCAUCUCACCCCUAUCUGCACCACCGCGUGGGUCCCCCUUUGGCUUGUUCGGAGGGGGGCUUACGUUUUCACACAAACUUUGUAUGCAGUGUAGAAUGUAUUUUUUGUUUUUGCGAUCACGCAAUCAAUACAACUUUCAACAACGGAUCUCUUGGCUCUC